UAUUGACAGCCUUCACCCAUCGUUUCUUGAUCACGUAACGCUUAAGACGAACUUUGGAAAUUGGACUUUCCAAAGACGAUUGCAGCCAUCGAUGUUCCGAUAGUUCGUCUGCUCGUGGCCUUUUUCUAAUAAAAAAAAAUUUCAGGUAUAUUAAACAUUAGAAAUAAAUUAAUAUCAACGUACAACAAUAUAAUAAUUUUCUUUUACAAAAAAAAUGUUGUCGAUGGCAUCGUAGAGCUGAAUCAGACGUGGAUGCUGUAACCUUCUCAUGAUUUCGACCUCACGUUCCACAGCACGCUUAUCUUCCUUCCUCGUGGUAUUCACCACCUUGGCGGCCAAAGCCAAUUCAC